CACGGUUGUUUUUCCGGCCACCCCUCGUUUGGAGAAGAUGGAGGACUCGUAUCGUGAGUCGAUUUGGCGAAAAAAGGGUCGUCCUAGAGAGUUGUACCCCGAUGUGUCUUGCAAGGAUGCCCCCGUGCCUCCCGAGGAACCUAUUCCUAACUGUGAUUGUGGACAUCCGGCACACGUGAGCCAGUCGAGACAUCCGGAUACUGCGGCACGUUGCUUCUAUACUUGUUAUAGUUAUAGCCCCUACUUCCGGUGCUUUUUCUUCCAAUGGAUCGACGGGCCGGACAAGUUUGACCCAAGAAUUCUGCUUUUCUAUCCCGACGUUGAUCA